CAGUCGCCGCGGGAAUACGGAGGGGGCUAGCGUUGUUCGGAAUUACUGGGCGUAAAGCGCACGUAGGCGGCUUGGUAAGUUAGAGGUGAAAGCCCGGAGCUCAACUCCGGAAUUGCCUUUAAGACUGCCGAGCUAGUAGGUGAGAGAGGUAAGUGGAAUUCCGAGUGUAGAGGUGAAAUUCGUAGAUAUUCGGAAGAACACCAGUGGCGAAGGCGGCUCACUGGCUCAUACUGGACGCUGAGGUGCGAAAGCGUGGGGAGCAAACAGGAUUAGAUACCCGAGUAGUCCCUGUCUCUUAUAA
rnacentral:rRNA from 1 species